UACGGGAGGCAGCAGUGGGGAAUAUUGCACAAUGGGCGCAAGCCUGAUGCAGCCAUGCCGCGUGUAUGAAGAAGGCCUUCGGGUUGUAAAGUACUUUCAGUCGUGAGGAAGGUGUUAAGGUUAAUAACCUUAGCAAUUGACGUUAGCGACAGAAGAAGCACCGGCUAACUCCGUGCCAGCAGCCGCGGUAAUACGGAGGGUGCGAGCGUUAAUCGGAAUUACUGGGCGUAAAGGGCACGCAGGCGGUUAAUUAAGUUGGAUGUGAAAUCCCCGGGCUUAACCUGGGAAUGGCAUUCAAGACUGGUUAGCUAGAGUCUUGUAGAGGGGGUAGAAUUCCAUGUGUAGCGGUGAAAUGCGUAGAGAUGUGGAGGAAUACCGGUGGCGAAGGCGGCCCCUGGAC
rnacentral:rRNA from 1 species